GCGGAGGAAAAGAAACUAACAAGGAUUCCCUCAGUAACGGCGAGUGAAGCGGGAAGAGCUCAAAUUUAAAAUCUGGUUUACUUGUAAGCCCGAGUUGUAGUCUGAAGAAACGUUUUCCAUAAGCACUGAGGCAAAAGUCCCUUGGAACAGGGCAUCAUAGAGGGUGAGAAUCCCGUCCAUGGUCUCAAGUUGUUUAUUUUGUGAUACGUUUUCAAAGAGUCAGGUUGUUUGGGAAUGCAGCCUAAAAUGGGUGGUAAAUUUCAUCUAAAGCUAAAUAUUGGCGAGAGACCGAUAGCGAACAAGUACCGUGAGGGAAAGAUGAAAAGAACUUUGAAAAGAGAGUUAAACAGUACGUGAAAUUGUUGAAAGGGAACCGUUUGAAGCCAGUCUUACUUGCCUGUGAUCAAUUUUUGCUUCGGCAUGAAUGCACUCUCGGGUAUGGUAGGCCAACGACAGUUUGGAAUGCGAGAAAAAAAUAGGGGAAAUGUGGCCUUCGGGUGUUAUAGUCCCCUAUAAAAUAUCGUGUCCUGGACUGAGGAUCGCAGUGAAAACGUGGGCAGGUGGAUUUCUGUGGUAACUGUCGGUUAGGACAACUUGUUGACCUAGCUUUCCUUAGCCUCACUAUUUACCUUGCUUCUAAUUUGCUUAGGUCGUUGGCAUAAUGGCUUUAAAUGAC
rnacentral:rRNA from 1 species